GACGAACGCUGGCGGCGUGCUUAACACAUGCAAGUCGAACGGAAAGGCCCUGCUUUUGUGGGGUGCUCGAGUGGCGAACGGGUGAGUAACACGUGAGUAACCUGCCCUUGACUUUGGGAUAACUUCAGGAAACUGGGGCUAAUACCGGAUAGGAGCUCCUGCUGCAUGGUGGGGGUUGGAAAGUUUCGGCGGUUGGGGAUGGACUCGCGGGUUAUCCGCUUGUUGGUGGGGUAGGGGCUUACCAAGGGUUUGACGGGUAGCCGGCCUGAGCGGGUGACCGGCCACAUUGGGACUGAGAUACGGACCAGACUCCUACGGGCGGCAGCAGUGGGGAAUAUUGCACAAUGGGCGGAAGCCUGAUGCAGCAACGCCGCGUGCGGGAUGACGGCCUUCGGGUUGUAAACCGCUUUCGCCUGUGACGAAGCGUGAGUGACGGUAAUGGGUAAAGAAGCACCGGCUAACUACGUG
rnacentral:rRNA from 1 species